rnacentral:rRNA from 1 species
AUGGCUCGUGGCGAUCAUCAAAACAAUAAUGAUGAUUUCAUGGAUCCACCACAGCGUAAUCGAGCAACUGGACGGAUAAAAGAGGGUGAUGAGAAGAAGAAACAUAUUCGCAACAGACCCUCCCAAGAACGUCUGACUGCGUUGACUGACAAAUUCACCGACGAUCAUAAGGGGGCUGUGGCUGAGAUGGGUAUGCAGUCUAUGAUGGUUGUCCGGUGCACGAACCUUGUCAACCCUGUAUGCGACUGGCUUGCUGAGAUCUACGAGCCCGCCUCCAGGGAGUUCAUGAUUCCGGGACGUGGAAGACCUCCGUUGAACGAGGAAUCCGUGUUCUGCACUUUGGGUGUGCCUCGUGGACAUAUCAAAGUCCCGUACGAGGUCAACAAUGAGAUCGAGGAAGCGCUGUUCCCCCGUUUGUUUCCUGGGUCGGAAUCCAUGCCGAACACGUCUGCAGUGGCAGAUUCGCUGCAGGGCAUGACGACGCAUGGAGAUGUUUUCAAGAUGAAGCUACUCAUGUACCUCAUCUCAGCUGUUUUCGCGCCGACCACCUCUCUUCGCCCAAGCAACAAAUGCUUCCCCAUCUUGGUGAAUGAUCCAUCUUUACUACUUUAUUUUCCUUCAAUCUUUGGCUCCGAUGUCAUAUGUAAAGCGGAUCUGAAAAAUGUGAAGAACAUGAAUUGGUACAAGUUUAUUGUUGACUUCCUCCACGAUGCAUUCUCAAGCAAGAUGUACGAAAAGGGUUGUCGUCUGCAUUUAAUGCUCAUGUAUGUCGACUGUCUUGAUCUGUCCAUCGUGGAUUUCACUGGGGUAGGAGGCCCGCCGCCUACGCACAAGUUUGCUGUGUCUGCAUGGACUAUCAACGCUGUCAAGACUGUGCUUGCCGCAGACAGGGUAACUGAUACCAAAUAUGGAAAACUGCAGCUGAUGGCCAAGCAUGCUAUAGACUACAGCGUGUUUGGGGGGCCUCAAAACUUUGGAAAGUGGAUGGAUGUGCACUCAGCUCUGUCUUGCCCUACUGAGGCGAGGGCUCCUGUUGAGCAUAUAAUUGGGCAGUUUGCAUCCAGAAUGACCGGCUUGCUCGGGAAGUUGGUUGAGGGGUGGACGUCUCACAGUGGCUCUGACAGUGACGCGGUUGCGAGGCAGUUCACUUCAUUUGUCCCAGAACAUACACAUCGGCCAACCGGUUGCCGUGGCCGGUAUGACUACAACAGUUCACAAGAGCCCAGUGACACACAAGAUGAUCUAGAUGGAGACGCUGGCCUCAGCAAGGAUGACGAUGAUGACAUGGAGAACGUGCAACAGGACACCAGCGAUGAUGAACAUGCUGAAGUUCGCGCAGGUGGUAACAAGGACAAGGAUGCAACAUAUGUCCCCCCACCGGAGAAAGUCAAAGAACAUACGGUUGCGAGAGGUGAGGGGGUGUUGCCAUCAAGGAGGGGAGGGCUCCAGGAGAUGUUGGGCAGGGUUCUCGUGGCAAGAGGUCUAGGACCGAUCCCGUAG